rnacentral:lncRNA from 1 species
CUCUGACAGAGGUCAGUAUCUCUUGCACAAAAAGUAACCUGGACACUUAUCUGCUUCCAUGCCUUCGACUCCGAAACAAGGAUCUCUAUCCCAAUACCUUAGUACUGUCCUCUCACAGCCAAGGAGGCAUCAGGACACUUGUACAGUGUUGGGGAGUGAGUUCAUCGCACUGCUCAAACCACCAGGACAGCAAUGGAAAACGCAAUAAUAAUAUAUCAUCAGCCAGAGGAAUGUGCCCGUGAAUACCAAGCAGGAGCAACCACGUGCUGCCAAGAGCAGGACCCAGCCGCCUCCUGCUGUGAGGUGCAAGGAAAGGCAAUAUCC